GACGAACGCUGGCGGCGUGCUUAACACAUGCAAGUCGAACGGAAAGGCCCUGCUUUUGUUGGGUGCUCGAGUGGCGAACGGGUGAGUAACACGUGAGUAACCUGCCCUUUACUUUCGUAUAACUUCAGGAAACUGGGGCUAAUACCGGAUAGGAGCUCCUGCUGCAUGUUGGGGCUUGGAAAUUUUCGGCGGUUGGGGAUGGUCUCGCGGCUUAUCAGCUUGUUGGUGGGGUAGUGGCUUACCAUGGCUUUGACGGGUAGCCGGCCUGAGAGGGUGACCGGCCACAUUGGGACUGAGAUACGGCCCAGACUCCUACGGGAGGCAGCAGUGGGGAAUAUUGCACAAUGGGCGGAAGCCUGAUGCAGCAACGCCGGGUGCGGGAUGGCGGGCUUCGGGUUGUAAACCGCUUUCGCCUGUGACGAAGCGUGAGUGACGGUAAUGGGUAAAGAAGCACCGGCUAACUACGUG
rnacentral:rRNA from 1 species